GGGGAGGUCAGCGCUCCUUGGACCUGGCCGCCCCUCUCCCCUCUGGCUCUAGCGUCUGCGCACCCGGGCUCAUCUCCGCCCCUCCCCCAACCCUCUCCUGGCCAUAUUCCUGCGUGUCCCCCUACGCAUUCCCUCCUGCACCCAUGCCACAAUAGAUAUUUGCCCCUGCCUGGGGGAGGGAAGGGCCCCCUGGGGAGACAGGACAUCAAAUGUAGGAUUGGGAGCCUGACAGCCUGUGAAGGGGGUUCUGACCCCAAGCGAUGGGGUGGGGGGAGUGUCCCUAAGCAGGGGACAGUUGAGCUGAGACCUGAGCAAGGAGAGGAAGUAGAAGAGAAGGGAGUCAGCAUGGCACCUGCCCAGGGGGGAGUAGGCUGGCUCAGGAGGCCAUGCCCGUCUGUCCGGGGCACUCGGGAGGGACGUGGCCUGUGUCUGUCCUGGACAUGCAGAACCUCAAGACAAGCAUCCUGGGGAAAGCUCUGGCUGGAGGUCAGGCGAGCUCUGCCCUGCGGGGACGGUGCCCAGGGGACCACCCGGGGUCUGAAGAGGAUUUAUUUUUAAAGAUGUCACCGGGCAGCUGUUCAGGACCAGCCUCCGGGACUGGCAGAGAAGCGAAGGGGCAGAAAGCAUCGCCCCGCAGGCCAGGCACUGCGUGGCCGGGCGCUGGGAGGAGGAGCCCAGUGUUGCCAGGAAGAGCAGCCGGAUGCCCAGGAGCAGCAGGAGGAUCCGGAGGGGCGCCCCCCACCUCCAUCCUCCCCUUUCCCAAGGGGCAGACCCUGAACAGGAAGAGUAUCAGCUCCCUGCACAGGCGAGUUCCUGCAGUUCCCCAGGUGGCCACACGAGGGUGCUGUGACCCUGCCCUACAAGGACCCAGAGCAGAGCAUGGAAUCAUCUGGAACACCCAGCACCCCGGCGUCAUAAAAUAGCAGUAUCCCAGCACCCCACCAUCCCUCCCUCCCAGCACCCCACCAUCCCUCCAUCCUACCAUCCCUCCCUCCCAGCACCCCAGCUCCCCAUCAUCCCAGCACACCACCAUCUGUCCAUCCUACCAUCCCUCCAUCUUACCAUCCCUCCA